ensembl:lncRNA
CGGAGCGCGGCGCUCCGCACCUUGACCGGCGGCACCGGGCGGGCCGGGCCGGGGCGGCUCCGGUACCGGGGGCGGGCGCCGCUCUUUGACCCUCGGGUUGGUCGGGGAGCCCGGUUUUGUCGGGAAAGCCGGAUCCGCGCCGGGAUGCGGACAAAGACACGGAGCAGCUGUUCGGGAAUAAAGCUGAAAUAGUAGAACCUGGGAGAGAAGUUAGCUUGGGGGAGCUAUUAUUUUCGCCGCAAAACCCUCGGGAGGUAUUAAACAGCUGCAUCCAAACGACGGAGCGACCCAAAGGCCGGGAUCCCACCGCCUCGCCGUCGAGCAGCGGGCGCGUGGCUCAGCGCACGGCCGCAGGUUCCUCUGCAAAGAGCAGCGUAGCAGAGCGGUUGGGAGAGCUGUGCUGGACAGAGGACGGCCGGCCGCGAGCGGAGCCUCCCACCGGCGAGCAUUGCCAGGCGAGGAGAGAAAACCUGGGCAGCCUUAAAACACUCAGAGUGUAAUGUGACGCUUCCAAACCUUUGCAGCCUGCGGGCGAAAGUCUGCUCGAGGAGCCUGAAGACGCACCAUCCCCACUUAUCGCCCCAGAGGCAGGCUAUCUAGCUGACAAGCUGUGCGGUGAAAAACCAGGUGCCCAUGUGCCUGCUGCUCACCCAAGGCCUGAAAGGGAUCAGCUGCUCAUUUUGCAGAGCAAAGUAAGAUGGCAACAAGAGGUCUCCAGAAGUAUUGCUGUGAUAGAAAUAACAAAGAGUAUCACCAGCUCUGGCCAUUUCUCUUCAGGAAAGAUCUUUCAUCUCCCCCCAAAAGCCUGUA